rnacentral:rRNA from 1 species
AACGAACGCUGGCGGCAGGCUUAACACAUGCAAGUCGAACGCCCCGCAAGGGGAGUGGCAGACGGGUGAGUAACGCGUGGGAAUCUACCCAGUUCUACGGAACAACUGAGGGAAACUUCAGCUAAUACCGUAUACGCCCUACGGGGGAAAGAUUUAACGGAAUUGGAUGAGCCCGCGUUGGAUUAGCUAGUUGGUGAGGUAAUGGCUCACCAAGGCGACGAUCCAUAGCUGGUCUGAGAGGAUGAUCAGCCACACUGGGACUGAGACACGGCCCAGACUCCUACGGGAGGCAGCAGUGGGGAAUAUUGGACAAUGGGCGCAAGCCUGAUCCAGCCAUGCCGCGUGAGUGAUGAAGGCCUUAGGGUUGUAAAGCUCUUUCAGUGGGGACGAUAAUGACGGUACCCACAGAAGAAGCCCCGGCUAACUUCGUGUCAGCAGCCGCGGUAAUAC